rnacentral:lncRNA from 10 species
CGGAAGCUCUGUCCCUUACUGCAUGUGUAACUGUAGGCAGCUUACUGAAUGUCCUUGUGUCUCAUUUUCCCAUCUGCAAUAUCCAGAGGAUGAUAAUUAUCAUGCUGUUUCAAGGUGGGUUGUGAUGGUUGUGAAAUCCAUGGUACCAUGCCUGGUCUUCAGCAGGACUUAACAAAAAAUAGCCUAUAUUAUUUUACCUAUAUGUUUUUGGGUUUUUUUCCCCUUCUCUAGCCUAUCUGCCAGAUUCACGAACAACCUGACCCAAUGCAGGCAAAUGCAGAGGAUGUCCCAUAACUGUCCCACUUCCUGGGAACCCUUCUUUGUGGCCAGACAGGGUUUAGUGCAGAGAGACAGAGAAGAGCCAGGUGUCCCCUGGCCCAAUGCUUCCGGGAAGCGUCUUGGCCUUCCCACCUCUGAGAACAUUCAGGCCUUUGAGAUGUGGCCCCUGCCUGCCCCAGUACCCCCGGCCCGACAAUGGGGGCUUCAGAGGAGCCUGGAUGGCAGGACACAGCCCCCUCUGUGAAGCGGAGUUGACCGCCAAGCUGGAGGUCUUCGUGGAUUUAUCAGGGAGAAGCAUGGCUGACUAAAGGAAUUCUGGCACCACGUGACAACCAUCUUCCUCAUCAAGAUUGGUGUCCUGGGAAGUGGCUAUCCCUGACCUUCCGGCAGAAUGAGGAGAAAAGUCUGAACCAGGCAGUUUACCUUCCCCCGGUAGCACUCCUCUCAGGCCAUGGAGAAUAACAAUAGCUAACAUUAACUGAGCUUUUGCUAGGGGCCAGAACUUUGCGUGCAUUAUCUCAUUUAAUCCUUGUACUAAGAGGUAAGUACCAUUACUAUUGCCAAAAGAGGAAACAGAAGCUUAGUAUGGUUAAGUGAUUUGCUCAAUGGCUGGAAGAGAUGAAGUAACCCACCUCAAGGUUGUUCAGGUAGUUUGCAGUAGAGUCAGGAUUUGAACCCAAGCAGUCUAAAUCCCGAGAUUCAUUUCACCAAAAACAGAAACCAGAGAAUAGAAUCCUGAUCCCUGCAGCAGGUCAGCUGAGCCAGGACCAAUUCAUUGCUUGAUUCCUACAAAGGAUUCUUGCUGAUGAAGGUAACAAGGAAGAUAGAAAGAGGAGAUUGAUAACAGUGAGGAAGAACAUGUUGAUGAAUAGGUGACUAGGAAAUUCCUACCUAGGAAUCAUUGAGUUGUUCAUUCAUUAAUCCGUCAUCCAUCUCGGGAACUCUGUUGAGUGGCCAUAGAGUGUAAAUAACAUGAGCUCUGGAGCCUGACAGACUGAGUUCAAAUCCCAGUUCUGCCAUGAUUUCCUGUGUGACCUUGGGCACGUUGCUUCACUUCUCUGAGCCUCAGACGUCUCAUCAAUAAAGUGAGGAUAAUAAAUUAUCUAUCUUGUAGGGCUGCUGUGAGAAUACAUGUUAUAAUACAUAGGAAGUGGUUUGUAUGUUGCCUAGUACAGAAUGAACACUCAAUGAACGUUAGCUAUUAUUAUUAUUAUUACUUCUACUUCUGUCCAGGUGCUGGGCUAAGGUACCAGAGUUACAAAGAUGAAUGGGACUGCCUCUCUGAUUGAAGAGAUUAGUGGAAGAGAUAGAGAUAGAC